UUCCGGUUGAUCCUGCCGGACCCUACUGCUAUCGGGGCGGGACUAAGACAUGCAAGUCGUGCGUCUCUAAGCCAUGGUAGAGACGCGGCGUACGGCUCAGUAACACGUGGCUAACCUACCCUUAGGACGGAGACAACCCCGGGAAACUGGGGCUAAUACCCGAUAGGUGAGGAGGCCUGGAAUGGUUCUUCGCUGAAAAGGCGUUGAAACCAUGCUUUUCAACGUCGCCUAAGGAUGGGGCCGCGUCCGAUCAGGUUGUUGGUGGGGUAACGGCUCACCAAGCCUAUAACCGGUACGGGCCGUGAGAGCGGGAGCCCGGAGAUGGGCACUGAGACAAGGGCCCAGGCCCUACGGGGCGCAGCAGUCGCGAAAACUCCGCAAUGCGCGAAAGCGUGACGGGGCUACCCCGAGUGCCGUCCGCUGAGGAUGGCUUUUCCACGGUGUAAUGAGUCGUGGGAAUAAGAGGGGGGCAAGACUGGUGUCAGCCGCCGCGGUAACACCAGCCCCUCGAGUUGUGGGGACGUUUAUUUGGCCUAAAGCGUCCGUAGCCGGCCCGGUAAGUCCCUCGUUAAAUCCAGCGUCCCAAGCGCUGGGCCGCGAGGGAGACUGCCGAGCUAGAGGGUGGAAGAAGUCAGCGGUAUUCCUGGGGUAGGGGCGAAAUCCAUUGAUCCCAGGAGGACCACCAGUGGCGAAGGCUGCUGACUAGUACACGCCUGACGGUCAGGGACGAAAGCUGGGGGAGCGAAUCGGAUUAGAUACCCGAGUAGUCCCAGCCGUAAACGAUGCACGCUAGGUGUUGGGGCGGCCACGCGCCGCCUCAGUGCCACAGGGAAAGCCAUUAAGCCUGCCGCCUGGGGAGUACGGCCGCAAGGCUGAAACUUAAAGGAAUUGGCGGGGGAGCACAACCAGGCGUGAAGCCUGCGUUUAAUUGGAGUCAACGCCGGG
rnacentral:rRNA from 1 species